GAAAAUAGCUGGAAAUAGUGAACAUCUGACACGUGUAAAAAAUAAGUAAAUUCGAUACAACGUUAUCGAUCGAAACAAUAGUGGAAAAAAGAAGCACGUCUCUGAAACGAUUAAAGUUCAUAUACAAGGUUGUUUCACGCUAUCGACUUUUGGUUAAGUCGGUCAAGCAUUGCGCGAGGAUACACGUAUAUACAUCGUAGAGUUUCUGCUAAGUGAGAAAAAGACGUUCAACAUCUAACACCGCACUUUCAUCAAGCCAACGGAAAUACAGAGAGAAUGCUUAAUACAAGGAACUAGGAUUAUAGAUUAGUUUCCAACAAGCGAAAUCUGGAAAAAAAAAAA